rnacentral:rRNA from 1 species
GCUCAGCCGAGGAAGUGCUUCGAAAACUGGUAAACUUGAGUGCAGAAGAGGAAAGUGGAACUCCAUGUGUAGCGGUGGAAUGCGUAGAUAUAUGGAAGAACACCAGUGGCGAAGGCGGCUUUCUGGUCUGUAACUGACGCUGAGAUUCGAAAGCAUGGGUAGCAAACAGGAUUAGAUACCCUGGUAGUCCAUGCCGUAAACGAUGAGUGCUAAGUGUUGGAGGGUUUCCGCCCUUCAGUGCUGCAGCUAACGCAUUAAGCACUCCGCCUGGGGAGUACGAUCGCAAGAUUGAAACUCAAAGGAAUUGACGGGGGCCCGCACAAGCGGUGGAGCAUGUGGUUUAAUUCGAAGCAACGCGAAGAACCUUACCAGGUCUUGACAUACCAUGAAAAGCUAAGAGAUUAGUCUUUCCCUUCGGGGACAUGGAUACAGGUGGUGCAUGGUUGUCGUCAGCUCGUGUCGUGAGAUGUUGGGUUAAGUCCCGCAACGAGCGCAACCCUUAUUAUCAGUUGCCAGCAUUCAGUUGGGCACUCUGGUGAGACUGCCGGUGACAAACCGGAGGAAGGUGGGGACGACGUCAAAUCAUCAUGCCCCUUAUGACCUGGGCUACACACGUGCUACAAUGGUCGGUACAACG